rnacentral:siRNA from 1 species
ACACCACCAGUUGCAACUCCUCCU